UACGGGGGGGGCAAGCGUUGUUCGGAAUUACUGGGCGUAAAGGGCUCGUAGGCGGUUCGGUAAGUCGGAUGUGAAAUCUCCACGCUCAACGUGGAGGGGCCAUUCGAUACUGCCGUGACUCGAGUCCGGUAGGGGAGUGUGGAAUUCCCGGUGUAGCGGUGAAAUGCGCAGAGAUCGGGAGGAACACCCGUAGCGAAGGCGGCACUCUGGGCCGGUACUGACGCUGAGGAGCGAAAGCGUGGGGAGCGAACAGG
rnacentral:rRNA from 1 species